UCAGAGUUUAAUCACAAAUAAGACGAAGUAAGGUGACAUGAAAAUUCCUUGUGUUGCAGUUUCUGGUAUUUGCUAUCUUUGUCUUGAGGGUGGCUGCCCAGUCGUGAUCCAGGUUGCCGGUGGAACCCAGCUCAUCCGGUUAGACCAGCAUGAGCCUCAUUCCUGCCUGAAUGAGAGGCUUGUAUCAACCAAGCCCCAAAACUAUAUAAAGAGCUUAAGACUCUGCAGUCACUCAGUCUGAGCCAGGAUGACACCAAGAAACAGCACAGAAAGGGGACAAGUCACCUUCCUCCAGCGGAAUAAACCGUUUCGAGCACGGGCCUCAUUCCGAAGAAGCGCCUAGUCUCUCUGAUUAAGUGGUUCUCAACAGUUCAACAGUUCUUUAACAAAAUUGUGAAAUGUUUAGGACCACUUGACCAGUCAGACCAAUGCUGCUACCUUUGGAAAACCUGCCUGUGUCUGAGAGGCUCUUUAGAAAGAAGAAACGUCCGAGAACGACCCUAAGUUUUGGCUCUUUUAUGAACAACUGUGAUUUUCUCUGCCUCCCUGCUUGGUUGAUGUCUGCCUGUGUCUCCUUUUCUAAUUGUGCCCCCUUGUGUUGCAAUCAUAACUGCAGUCCAGGAGCUGUGGGGGAGCUGUAAAAAUCAUCAGCAUUCAGUAAUUUCAUUCUGCUGGCACACUUACAAUUUUUUUAACAGCUCUGCUGCUGCGGUAACACUUCUUUUUUUUUUUUUUUUUUUUUUAAUACUGUUGCUAGUAUUCAGAGGUGCUGAUUAAAACAAGUCAAUAAAGAACCAUUUGUCUCUGA